rnacentral:rRNA from 1 species
UAAUACCUCAUGGUAUUGCAAUUUGGCAUCAGAUUGUAAUUAAAGAUUUAUUGGUAAAAGAUGGCUAUGCGUCUUAUUAGCUAGAUGGUAAGGUAACGGCUUACCAUGGCAACGAUAAGUAGGGGCCCUGAGAGGGGGAUCCCCCACACUGGUACUGAGACACGGACCAGACUCCUACGGGAGGCAGCAGUGAGGAAUAUUGGGCAAUGGAGGCAACUCUGACCCAGCCAUGCCGCGUGCAGGAAGACUGCCCUAUGGGUUGUAAACUGCUUUUAUACAGGAAGAAACACACCUACGUGUAGGUGCUUGACGGUACUGUAAGAAUAAGCACCGGCUAACUCCGUG